UACAGAGGUCUCGAGCGUUGUUCGGAUUCAUUGGGCGUAAAGGGUGCGUAGGUGGCACUGUAAGUCGGGUGUGAAAUCCUGAGGCUUAACCUCGGAACUGCAUUCGAUACUGCGGUGCUUGAGGACUGGAGAGGAGACUGGAAUUCAUGGUGUAGCAGUGAAAUGCGUAGAGAUCAUGAGGAAGACCAGUGGCGAAGGCGGGUCUCUGGACAGUUCCUGACACUGAGGCACGAAGGCCAGGGGAGCAAACAGG
rnacentral:rRNA from 1 species